rnacentral:rRNA from 1 species
UNGGAAUCUUCCGCAAUGGACGNAAGUCUGACGGAGCAACGCCGCGUGAGUGAUGACGGCCUUCGGGNUGUAAAGCUNUGUUAAUCNGGNCGAAUGGUUCUUGUGAGAAUAGUGCGAGGAUUUGACGGUACCGGAAUAGAAAGCCACGGCUAAAUACGUGCCAGCAGCCGCGGUAAUACGUAGGUGGCAAGCGUUGUCCGGAAUUAUUGGGNNUAAAGCGCGCGCCGGCGGAUCAGUUAGUCUGAAUAAAAGUUCGGGGCUUAACCCCGUGAUGGGAUGGAAACUGUCAUCUAGAGUAUCGGAGAGGAAAGUGGAAUUCCUAGUGUAGCGGUGAAAUGCGUAGAUAUUAGGAAGAACACCAGUGGCGAAGGCGACUUUCUGGACGAAAACUGACGCUGAGGCGCGAAAGCCAGGGGAGCGAACGGGAUUAGAUACCCCGGUAGUCCUGGCCGUAAACGAUGGGUACUAGGUGUAGGAGGUAUUGACCCCUCCUGUGCCGGAGUUAACGCAAUAAGCACCCCGCCUGGGGAGUACGACCGCAAGGUUG